AUUGAACGCUGGCGGCAUGCCUUACACAUGCAAGUCGAACGGUAACAGGUCUUCGGAUGCUGACGAGUGGCGAACGGGUGAGUAAUACAUCGGAACGUGCCCGAUCGUGGGGGAUAACGAAGCGAAAGCUUUGCUAAUACCGCAUACGAUCUACGGAUGAAAGCAGGGGACCGCAAGGCCUUGCGCGAACGGAGCGGCCGAUGGCAGAUUAGGUAGUUGGUGGGAUAAAAGCUUACCAAGCCGACGAUCUGUAGCUGGUCUGAGAGGACGACCAGCAAGACUGGGAGAGAGACACGGCCCAGACUCCUACGGGGGGCAGCAGUGGGGAAGUUUGGACAAUGGGCGAAAGCCUGAUCCAGCCAUGCCGCGUGCAGGAUGAAGGCCUUCGGGUUGUAAACUGCUUUUGUACGGAACGAAAAGACUCUGGUUAAUACCUGGGGUCCAUGACGGUACCGUAAGAAUAAGCACCGGCUAACUACGUGCCAGCAGCCGCAGUAA
rnacentral:rRNA from 1 species